rnacentral:rRNA from 1 species
GAAGGCUCUUGGGUUGUAAACCUCUUUUCUCAGGGAAUAAAAAAAUGAAGGUACCUGAGGAAUAAGCAUCGGCUAACUCCGUGCCAGCAGCCGCGGUAAUACGGAGGAUGCAAGCGUUAUCCGGAAUGAUUGGGCGUAAAGCGUCCGCAGGUGGUACAACAAGUCUAGUGUCAAAGACCGGGGCUCAACCCCGGAAAGGCGGUGGAAACUGUUGAACUAGAGGGUCGUAGGGGUAGAGGGAAUUCCCAGUGUAGCGGUGGAAUGCGUAGAGAUUGG